AACGCACAUUGCGCCCCUUGGCAUUCCGAGGGGCAUGCCUGUUCGAGCGUCAUUACAACCCUCAAGCUCUGCUUGGUAUUGGGCGACGUCCUCUCUGCGGACGCGCCUCAAAGACCUCGGCGGUGGCUGUUCAGCCCUCAAGCGUAGUAGAAUACACCUCGCUUUGGAGCGGUUGGCGUCGCCCGCCGGACGAACCUUCUGAACUUUUCUCAAGGUUGACCUCGGAUCAGGUAGGGAUACCCGCUGAACUUAA
rnacentral:misc_RNA from 2 species